AUGUUCUUAAUCCAGCAUUAGUUUUUUCGUUCGUCACCUUCUACCAGCCACAAGUAGAUUUCUGUAUCCCGCUCUUCAGCAAAAUCUGAAAUUUGUAGUGGGGUAUAUCUUUUGAUGACAUUGACUGCCAAGGUAGAGAUGGUAUUUUUUCAAAUUUGCAAAUAUCCUUAAGAUUUAACGGGAAAUCCAAUCCUUUAAGGUUUAGUUCAUCUGUCCACAUGCAGUACUGAGUCAACCUAUCUGCAUGUUGUUGGUUUACCUCCACAUAAUGCACGACUGAAAGUAUUGCCCAUUGAAAACUCUAGUUAUCGAUGUUUUUCACGCUAAUUACAGCUUACUGGUCUUCAAUCCAUAUAGAAGAUGUUUUGGUGGUAGUAAGGUAACAUGUAUAUUUGAGCGUUUGAAGUUGUUUUGUGUUCUGUGGGUUAAAUAAGAUUUUUCAAAACAAUAAUAAUAAAGAUAAAAAGGUUAAAAGAUUGAUAUAUUAGAAGACAUUUAACAAUUACUGGAUGAUUGCAAAUAUUGGCAGACGUUGAACAGGGUCAAAAACCCUAUACACGAAACUUUCUAGCAUUUUAACAUUUAAGAGUCAAAACAAUAUUUUUUUUUCAAAUUAUCUCCAAUAAAUCAAAUUCUUAUGCAGCGCUAUCAUUAUAGUUACUACAAUAUGUUUCAAUAUCGAGUUUGUACAGUAAUUAUGAAAUUGUGCUUCGAAUGAAACCAGAAAUAACAUGGGUUUUGUUUUAAUCUGAAAUAAUCAAAUUUUGAUUUACUUGGAAUAGAUCUUUGGUAAUCUCCUUCACAUUUUCGUGACAAGAUCUCAAAAUUUACAAAACUCCACGAGUUUAGAUCAAUUCGUCAUGUCCAUAAGAUUUCACAAUUUGGCUGCAUGUUCAUCAAUACAUCAUAAAAUUGUAGGAUCAUGCAGCUUCCUAACUGUGAAUCAUUAAAGAUUAAAAUCGUUUAGUAAGCCUGGAGUCAUAUGUAAUUUUAGGGUGAAUCCCCUGGAUUUUUUUAUUUGUAAUUACUAUUCAAUAUUGCAAUCUCCAACCGGAACAAAUAUAACUAUAUGAAUUCAUAAUUCAGAUACCUGUACAUUUAUUUCAGAUAUUUAUAAAAUAUUUAAAUUAAAAGUACAUACACUAAUAAAUUUUAUCACUUUUUGCAUGAAUAAUCAUAACACAUAAGAAGUACCAUAGGCAUAUCCUGUUUCGUAUAUUUUCAUUCAUACAUCAUUUGUAUCUGACACAAGAAUUGUGAAAUUAUUUUCAAAAGUUUCGAAAUGAUUUUGAUUAUAUGGGAGGACAUACUUACUCAGUGUACUUAUAGGAAGAAACAAUCAGGGUAUGGAUUGAUUAACAUUUUCCCUGUUUUAAUAUGUGUUCUACUUAUACAACACGGUAACUGUUUACUUUGUCGUCCUCCAUUCUGUCGAUCUCAGGAACAGAUACCUUGUAGUCCUCCAUCAUGUAAUUCUCCUGGAUAUUAUCCGUGGUAUAUGCCUAAUCCAUCGACUGAAAGCGGACCGUGUGGAAGAUUCUGUAAAUUUACUUGGAUUUGUGAUCCUUGUCAAAUAUUAAACCGUACCGCAGCCAAUGAAAUUGAUAGAUUGCUUGUUGAUGUUCCAGCAGAUUCUGAUAUCUGUCGUAACGUCAGAACAUACAGUAUUUCGUUAGCUGUAGUUAACAGAAUGGAUACUGGGGGCCAAACAAGCGAUGCAAAGAAUUUUGCAGAUUAUCUUAGGAAAACUGAAUGGCAGUUUGGGACUGGUUUAUGUGGAAAUAAUGUGGUGAUAUUCCUUUCACGUUAUGAUAGGCAAGUAUACACAUCAGCAGGCAAAGCAGCUUUCAAAGUUUUGAAUGAAAAUUGCAUUGACAGCAUAUUCAAAAAAGCAAAACAAGAUUAUUUUUCAGCUGACGAUUUUGAAGGAGGAUUAAAAUUCAUGAUACAGGAAUACAAGAGGGCUUUACAAGAUGGGAUAUGUUCUUAUGGUGAUACACACCCGUCUUUCUGGAUUUUGCUUGCUGUUGUAAUUUGUUUCGUGAUUUUACUUAGUACUUUGAUUGUGUGUUUCUGUUUUAAAAUAUAUUGUCCAGAUGUGUGUACAGGAGCAUAUGCAAGAACGAGUGGCGGAAGAUGGGUAUGGGGAGGAUUGGGUAU